rnacentral:rRNA from 1 species
UACGGGGGGGCAAGCGUUGUUCGGAAUUACUGGGCGUAAAGGGCUCGUAGGCGGCCAACUAAGUCGGACGUGAAAUCCCUCGGCUUAACCGGGGAACUGCGUCCGAUACUGGAUGGCUUGAGUUCGGGAGAGGGAUGCGGAAUUCCAGGUGUAGCGGUGAAAUGCGUAGAUAUCUGGAGGAACACCGGUGGCGAAGGCGGCAUCCUGGACCGACACUGACGCUGAGGAGCGAAAGCCAGGGGAGCAAAGCGGG